UGCACUAGAUCUGCGUUUGGUUUGAUUGCUCACUAAUUGUCGAGUGUAUGUUGUGUUUGCUUUUUGCCUUUAUAUGCUGUAAGCAUUCCUCUUAAUAUCCUUGGUUCUUACGGUCAUGUAAUGUCAAAAUCAUUGUUUCCAUGCUUAGAUCCCUAAUGCUAAAUUUGAAGAGAUACGGAGAUGUGUGUGAAUGCUUCCUGAUGGAAUUUUAGGAAACACUAAUGGAGAUCAUUGUGCAACCCUCUUGAAGUUAGGUGAAGAAGGUCAAGAACAAGGUGUCAGCCAACUUGACAUUUCGGAAAUGGCUGCAUAUCAGAGUUCUCCACUGUUCUCCACACUUACUCUCUCCCUUAUCUCCGAGCUGGUAGCAGAGGAGCCAGCAGAAGACAGCAAGCCCUUGGUAUAGAUAGAGAAGCCAUGGAUGAAAAGAAGCAGGCCUUAAAGACAGAGCAAAGUAACAUAGCAUUCCUCUCUACUAUCAUCCUGUACUGGAUAGGCCCCCACAAAUAAUCCUGUAUUUUGGUAAACCGAUGCUUGAGGAAGACAUGCUAGAGCAAAAACUACAACUCUGGUCCUCUUGGAUAUUUUAGAUAAGGACUUUACCCACAUAAAGAAGGUGUUGCCCUGGGGACUGGCUGAGAGAAAUUACAGACUGUUACUCACUUCAAAAGAAACGGACUGCUACAGUGGUACUUACGUCACCAGAAAGAAACACUUCCACAAAGAAUUUGAUUUGAUGGCAUCAUGUGGACAUAGAACUCUCAUAGUAAUGACCCAACCUGUGUUUCCAGUCAUCCUGAUGAACUCUCAACAAAAUCAGAUUGUUAUACUGUUGUUCUCACUUUACACCGAUAUUUUCUCUUGCUCCUAAAAAAAGUAUCUGGUAUUAAAUAGAAUUCUGUAUCUUAAAAAACUUGCCAUUGAGAAAAAUGAGAAGUAACUGUACAUUUUAAUACUGAAGGUUUUAAUAAAAAAAGCAGUGUGAA
rnacentral:lncRNA from 1 species